AUCCAGUUGACUAGUCCCAAAUAGGACUAAACGCGCGUCCUGGAU
rnacentral:hammerhead_ribozyme from 1 species